GUUGCUUUGAAUGCAAGAUUUAAUGAUUUACAAGUAUGAUCCGUUGGGAGUCUUGUACUUACAAUUUUCAAAACACUGCACCAUACUAUUGAUAAUAGUACCAUAGC